rfam:Acinetobacter gerneri DSM 14967 = CIP 107464 genomic scaffold acLZs-supercont1.37, whole genome shotgun sequence.
GGGGGCGUGGCGAAAUUGGUAGACGCACUGGAUUUAGGUUCCAGCGCCGCAAGGUGUAAGAGUUCGAGUCUCUUCGCCCCCA